CUGCUUAUGGGUAGUACGCAGAUCUCCAAGGGGUUGGAAACUUUGACACCUUGUGUGAAACACCCAUUUCACACACCUAAAACACCUUUCAACACCUUUUCGACACCUUUCAAAUGUACCACCAUGAUCAUUUUUUAUUUUACUGGCAUCGCUGUUUCUGCCGAUGUUUAUAUUUUCAUUUUCAGUCAAUGUUUAUCGUCACAGUGCGGAGCGGAACAGGCAGCAGCAAUACCGGGUACGAGCAACAUCAGAUAACCAGCUACGUUUUCUCCGGAGUCUCGAGCCGCCGAGCUUAACGGAGUCGAUACAGCAGAUGGAUCCUGUCCAUCAUUACAUACACCGGAUAGUGAGAAUCGACAAGUUAAAGGCGGACAAAAUGACCAGAAGGCAAAGAAAGAACCGAAAGGAAGAACGGUAGUCCCCCUCCGCAUUAGAACGAAAGGAGCGUCCAACGAAUCAUCGUCAUCAAGAGCAGCACGGUGCUACUUCGUCGCCACUACAGCAACACAAAACCGAAACGAAGGAGGUCGAUUGCCGGAGCCUCAGCACCGGUGACAUCGUAAGCAGAAAGAUCUUCGAUGUGUAUCCGGAAUGGAAGUGGUACGGAGGAAAAUCUAAAAAUAGUCGAUUUGAAUAAGGAUGGCCUUCGAUUUUUUAGGCGAGAUUUGAGCGUCGUGAAAGUGAAAAGGAACCGGUUUGCUUCAGUUAGCAAGUGGCAAUCGGAACGACGCUUACACCAGGAACAACAGGAAACGCUUGUCCCAUUCGAGGACUUCGAUGCGGCUAAGAAGAAAGAUACUACCACCGGCUUUCAUCAUCGAUAAUCAGCUUUUUCUGUGAAGUUUGCAAGUUGCCCCGACAAUUUACAAUUUCCGAAGGAGAAUUAUCACUACCCGCAUAGAAAAAUACAAUUUGCCAUACGUUCCAAACAAUAAUUUUCUUCUAACUGGUGAGGUAACUUUAUCUCAAAGAGUUAUUUUUAUGUUGAGCAAUAUGAAACCAAAACUAAAUACUGUAAUCAACAGUUUGCAGAAAACAUAUCAAGUAGUGACAAUUUGUCAUAGUGGCACGGCAUUGUUGAAUGACAAGGGGUUGGAAACUCUGACACCUUGUGUGAAACACCCAUUUCACACACCUAAAACACCUUUCAACACCUUUUCGACACCUUUCAAAUGUACCACCAUGAUCAUUUUUUAUUUUACUGGCAUCGCUGUUUCUGCCGAUGUUUAUAUUUUCAUUUUCAGUCAAUGUUUAUCGUCACAGUGCGGAGCGGAACAGGCAGCAGCAAUACCGGGUACGAGCAACAUCAGAUAACCAGCUACGUUUUCUCCGGAGUCUCGAGCCGCCGAGCUUAACGGAGUCGAUACAGCAGAUGGAUCCUGUCCAUCAUUACAUACACCGGAUAGUGAGAAUCGACAAGUUAAAGGCGGACAAAAUGACCAGAAGGCAAAGAAAGAACCGAAAGGAAGAACGGUAGUCCCCCUCCGCAUUAGAACGAAAGGAGCGUCCAACGAAUCAUCGUCAUCAAGAGCAGCACGGUGCUACUUCGUCGCCACUACAGCAACACAAAACCGAAACGAAGGAGGUCGAUUGCCGGAGCCUCAGCACCGGUGACAUCGUAAGCAGAAAGAUCUUCGAUGUGUAUCCGGAAUGGAAGUGGUACGGAGGAAAAUCUAAAAAUAGUCGAUUUGAAUAAGGAUGGCCUUCGAUUUUUUAGGCGAGAUUUGAGCGUCGUGAAAGUGAAAAGGAACCGGUUUGCUUCAGUUAGCAAGUGGCAAUCGGAACGACGCUUACACCAGGAACAACAGGAAACGCUUGUCCCAUUCGAGGACUUCGAUGCGGCUAAGAAGAAAGAUACUACCACCGGCUUUCAUCAUCGAUAAUCAGCUUUUUCUGUGAAGUUUGCAAGUUGCCCCGACAAUUUACAAUUUCCGAAGGAGAAUUAUCACUACCCGCAUAGAAAAAUACAAUUUGCCAUACGUUCCAAACAAUAAUUUUCUUCUAACUGGUGAGGUAACUUUAUCUCAAAGAGUUAUUUUUAUGUUGAGCAAUAUGAAACCAAAACUAAAUACUGUAAUCAACAGUUUGCAGAAAACAUAUCAAGUAGUGACAAUUUGUCAUAGUGGCACGGCAUUGUUGAAUGAUAAGGGAAUAAAAACUAGUAUCGAAUGGUUGCAAUGUAGGUUCAUUGUAUACCUUAUUGUUAGUUUUCAUGUUUGAGCAGCACACUCACACCUAUACAUUUCACUAUUCAUAAAUUUUGUUCAACAAUAUGGCAUACUGUAGUACUCGCUGUAGUAUGCAUUGUAUUUGUGAGCGAUGGAUUUGCUUCAUUUGUCGUCUAAUAAUUCACAAGAGUUUAUUUCCAAGCGCAACCGUUUGUGAAUAUAUGCGUAAAUUUUCAUUAUACAUUUUGUUACUUUGUCACAUAUCCUGUUUAAGUGACGCGCCAUCAUUUUUCAUUAUUUACAUUGAAGUUUUUUUUAGCGUGAAAUUAUUGAGAGGAUAAAUUGGUAAAAUGUUGUUGACUAUUUUAGUUGUUUGGUUUUUGGUAAUUUCAUCAUUUUUCUAAAUUACUCGCAUAAGCCAUUUUCAAAAGGUAUGCUACUUUUGCUCACCGCGCGCCGCAGGAGCAAACAUUGUACUUUGUCACCAUCGCAACCAGCAUCCUGCGGACUUUCUCCAGAACGGAACGUGCGGACGUGAGAAAACCGGAGAACUGCGGACAGCAAUUCCAAGAGCAGUUCAGCAUCGGACUGGAAGCAAUACAAUCUUGAAUGUUCCCAAAGAAGGAGCUGAAAAGUUGAUGCACCGGGCAAUCAAGCGGUGCAGGGGUGUCGCUUGAAUGCGAAAGUAAACAGCUGGAUGUGAUGUACGUGGGGAUGUAGACACCUAGGAUGGAGACUCAAGGAACGAAGCUUUGGCGACAGUAUGAGGUGCACCAAGGCGAAGCUACUCCGGCACCCGGUUCUUCAACAGGAUACUUAUUUGGAUUAUGCUGUUGAACGGGGAGUUGAAACAUACAUCAACUGCUACCGAAUGUAUUGAAUUCCGUUCAGAUUCAGUGGCUACAGCUGGAAGUGGCAAUGUUGAUAUUACGCUUUUUGUUAUAAGUGAUUUUUUUAAUAAGUUUAUUUUCAUAGUCGGUUAGAGGUCAUCCAUGUAGAACGCCACGCUAGGAGGAGGGGGAGCUCUUUGUGAAGGCGUGGCAAGCAAUGUGUUAUGUAUAGAAAUAACCCGUAUAAAGAAAGAAGGGAUGUUCGCUUAUCAUAUCGACACUGAUUCUUCAUUAGGGCCUAACUGACAUUUUCGAUUUCUCUUUAUCGAUCCUCUCUUUGUGUUAUCACGGAAUGUGUAUUGAGUUUUCCAAAGAUUUUUUGGUUGAAAUGCGAAGAAGACGACUACAUGUUGCUAUAGAAACAAAAAGAAUAAUAAUUUUGUUUGUUUUGAUCAAGUUAUUUAUUAGCGAAAGAGAGAGUCGACGAAGAGGAAACGAUCAAGUCAGUUAGCCCUUAUGAAAAAUCAUUGUCGAUAUGAUUUUCAUUUUAUCCAAUAUUUUACCUGUUAUCAAUAUUAUGCGUUGCGCGAAAAUUUGUACGCGCAAGCGCCCAUACAUCUCCGCCUGUAAGAAAAAUCAUUUCGGUGUUUUCGGCGCAGUAUUCCUUGGCCAAUUCGCGCACUUAUUGUAGAAGACACCAUAACGAUUAGACAUACCAGCGGAGGUCUAUUAGCGAUUUUGCACCUUUUUCGCUCUCUAUUUUCUUGCAACGGGUAAUAUAUACCCAACUAACAAUCACUCAUUUUACAAGCACCUUUACGACGAAUUGAUUCAGCAUGAUGCUGAAUAACAUUUGGACAAUUUUCAGGCACAACCUUUGUUCGGGUUUUGUUCACACAAAUUUGGAGAAACUGUAAAGCAUAGUGUUGUGUACCAACUGAAAUGUUUGUUGUUAAAUCGUUUUACAAAUAUAUAGUAAAGCUGUUAUUCAGCUUCAGCAAAAAUGAUUAAAAAUAAAAAAAUGCAAAAUUUUUCAAUUUCCACGAGAGUUUAUGAUUGGAGCUUAAUGCUGUGAACAAAUAUUGUGAAAUAAUAACUACACAUAAAUUUACCUAAAUCCAGGAUCGAACUCGAGACCCGUCGAUUGCCAGCCGCAUGCCUUCCUAUCUGCGCCAUCCUAGAGAUGAUGAAUUGCAGCGCUCAAAUCAAAACAUAAACUUCCCGUGGUUUUAUAAUGAUCAGACUCUGACUUCUAUACAGCAGUGGUGAAUUAGCACAACAUUAUGGUUAACGACUGAACAACAGAAUUAUUCAGCUGUUGUUCGGUAAAAAACACGUGUUUUUCAUCAUGUACUCUGAGUCGAAGUAUGAUGAAACGAAAGCGCUUAUUUGACUUGUGCAAAACACAUUAUUCAGAUACAUGUCCUAAUUUUUACACGAACUUAACAAGAAGCAGAAAAAAGUCUUGUUAAACUAUGUUGUAAAGGAAUUACUGCGAGUCGAAUAAAAAUCUUAUUAAACGCUUGAAAAGUGUUUUAAAUUAUCAUUAUUAAUACCAAUACGAAAAGUUGAACAUUGGCUACUUUUUCAAUUGAAAAAGCAUUUGUACAGUAAUAUGUACAGCAUAUUUUUAGUUCAGCUAUAAUUACUAUUAUAAAGCAACAAUUCAGCAUGCAUGCUUGUUUGCGGCUGGCGAUUGUUAGUUGGGUAAUCCCUGAUAUA